CCUACGGGAGGCAGCAGUGGGGGAUAUUGCACAAUGGGGGGAACCCUGAUGCAGCGACGCCGCGUGGGUGAAGAAGCGCCUCGGCGCGUAAAGCCCUGUCAGCAGGGAAGAAAAUGACGGUACCUGAAGAAGAAGCCCCGGCUAACUACGUGCCAGCAGCCGCGGUAAUACGUAGGGGGCAAGCGUUAUCCGGAUUUACUGGGUGUAAAGGGGGCGCAGACGGCGAUGCAAGCCAGGAGUGAAAGCCCGGGGCCCAACCCCGGGACUGCUCUUGGAACUGCGUGGCUGGAGUGCAGGAGGGGCAGGCGGAAUGCGUGGGGGAGGGGGGAAAUGCAGAGAGAGCAGGAGGAACACCGGGGGCGAAGGCGGCCUGAUGGAGUGCAACUGACGUGGAGGCCCGAAAGGGUGGGGAGCGAACAGGAUUAGAUACCCCAGUAGUC
rnacentral:rRNA from 1 species